GACAGAUCUCGCCCCCGCACGUUGCACACCUGGCAAUAGCGACACUUGUCGCACUUGUACUUCUUGCGCGCUGUGCUCUGGUUUUGGAACGUGACCGGCAGACAUGGAAAGUGCCCUGAAAAGAUGGGACAAAAUUCUUUGCGAACUGAUGGAAAGCUUAAAUCACUGACAGAUAUGAAGAAAAAUCCAAGAAAAAUGAUGCGAAUGCAAAUACGCAAUGAAAUAGUACCUGCCAAGUACCAUAUCACGUAAAUACACAUGUAAGAUAACGAUUUCUUUUGCUGUAUUCAACUGCUACAUAUGCAUAUGCUAUAUAUGCACAGGCAGUGAAUUUAUAGUAUAGUGUACAACUUUCUUUUUUUUUUUUGAAUAGAAUACCAGGAUGUUUAAAACCAGUUUUGUUUUCUGUGCAUGUUUGGAUUUUUGAUAAAACGACUACAACGAGUAGAUAUCAUGGAGCAACAAUAAAACUAUACGUUUUAUUAUGGUCGUGCCAA